GACGAACGCUGGCGGCGUGCUUAACACAUGCAAGUCGAACGGAAAGGCCCUGCUUUCGUGGGGUGCUCGAGUGGCGAACGGGUGAGUAACACGAGAGUAACCUGCCCUUGACUUUGGGAUAACUUCAGGAAACUGGGGCUAAUACCGGAUCGGAGCUCCUGCUGCAUGGUGGGGGUUGGAAAGUUUCGGCGGUUGGGGAUGGACUCGCGGCUUAUCAGCUUGUUGGUGGGGUAGUGGCUUACCAAGGCUUUGACGGGUAGCCGGCCUGGGAGGGUGACCGGCCACAGUGGGACAGAGGUACGGCCCAGACUCAUACGGGAGGCAGCAGUGGGAAAUAGUGCACAAUGGGCGGAAGCCUGAUGCAGCAACGCCGCGUGCGGGAGGACGGCCUUCGGGGUGUAAACCGCUUUCGCCUGUGACGAAGCGUGAGUGACGGUAAUGGGUAAAGAAGCACCGGCUAACUACGUG
rnacentral:rRNA from 1 species